rnacentral:rRNA from 1 species
UACGGGGGGGAGCAAGCGUUGUUCGGAUUUACUGGGCGUAAAGGGCGCGUAGGCGGUCGUGACAAGUCACUUGUGAAAUCUCCGGGCUUAACUCGGAACGGUCAAGUGAUACUGUCGGACUAGAGUACAGAAGGGGCAACUGGAAUUCUCGGUGUAGCGGUGAAAUGCGUAGAUAUCGAGAGGAACACCUGCGGCGAAGGCGGGUUACUGGGCUGAUACUGACGCUGAGGAGCGAAAGCGUGGGGAGCGAACAGG